rnacentral:rRNA from 1 species
AGAAUCAACGCUGGCGGCGUGCCUAACACAUGCAAGUCGCACGAGAAAGGGGAGCAAUCCCUGAGUAAAGUGGCGCACGGGUGAGUAACACGUGAAUAAUCUACCUCCGAGUGGGGAAUAACUGAGAGAAAUCUUAGCUAAUACCGCAUAACACUUACGAGUCAAAGCAGCAAUGCGCUUGGAGAGGAGUUCGCGGCCGAUUAGUUAGUUGGCGGGGUAAUGGCCCACCAAGACGAUGAUCGGUAUCCGGCCUGAGAGGGCGCACGGACACACUGGAACUGAAACACGGUCCAGACUCCUACGGGAGGCAGCAGUGGGGAAUUUUGCGCAAUGGGGGAAACCCUGACGCAGCAACGCCGCGUGGAGGAUGGAAGCCCCUUGGGGGUGUAAACUCCUUUCGAUCGGGAAGAUAAUGACGGUACCGAUAUAAGAAGCCCCGGCUAACUUCGUGCCAGCAGCCGC